rnacentral:tRNA from 7 species
UGGGGCGUGGCCGAGUGGUAAGGCACCGAGUUUUGGUCUCGCUAGUCGAAGGUUCGAAUCCUUUCGUCCCAG